rnacentral:rRNA from 1 species
UACGGGGGGGGGCAAGCGUUGUUCGGAAUUACUGGGCGUAAAGGGCGCGUAGGCGGCCUACUAAGUCGGACGUGAAAUCCCUCGGCCCAACCGAGGAACUGCGCCCGAGACUGCUUCUCUUGAGUCCCGGAGAGGAAGGUGGAAUUCCCGGUGUAGCGGUGGAAUGCGUAGAGAUCGGGAAGAACAUCGGUGGCGAAGGCGGCCUGCUGGGCUCUUGCUGACACUGAGGCGCGACAGCGUGGGGAGCAAACAGG